AGAGAAAAAGAAGAAGAAAA
rnacentral:miRNA from 1 species